rnacentral:rRNA from 1 species
AACGCGAAGAACCUUACCUGCCCUUGACAUCCCGGUGACCGCAGAGUAAUGUCUGCUUUCCUUCGGGACACUGGAGGCAGGUGGUGCAUGGUUGUCGUCAGCUCGUGUCGUGAGAUGUUGGGUUAAGUCCCGCAACGAGCGCAACCCUUAUCUUUAGUAGCCAGCGGUUUGGCCAGGCACUCUAGAGAGACUGCCAGGGAUAACCUGGAGGAAGGUGGGGAUGACGUCAAAUCAUCAUGCCCCUUAUGGGCAGGGCUACACACGUGCUACAAUGGCGUAAACAAAGGGAAGCGAAGCCGCGAGGCCUAGCAAAUCCCAAAAAUAACGUCUCAGUUCGGAUUGUAGUCUGCAACUCGACUACAUGAAGCUGGAAUCGCUAGUAAUCGCGAAUCAGAAUGUCGCGGUGAAUACGUUUCCGGGUCUUGUACACACCG